AUAGUGCUUAUCAUUUUGGAUAUGCAAACUAUAUAAUUCAGUUUUUAAUGGCUGAGGGACAUGGGCCGGUGGUGCUGGUGGGUGAUCCGCAUGCUGACUGGGCAUCGCAGGGAGCAGUGAAUGGACCUCAAAUGCUACAAGUUGAGGUCCAUUCACUGUUCCUUGUGGGGUCGGUCAGCAUGCGGAUCGCCCACUGGCGCCACUGGCUUGUGUCCCUCAGCCAUAUGCAAACUAUAAUUCAGUUUUUAAUCUUGCUUGGACAGAUUUUUAAUCAUACCAACCAUAGCCAUAAGUUCUUUUCUACUGCUUUAAUAAUUCUGUAAUCAAGU
rnacentral:lncRNA from 1 species